UUAUUAGAGACUUAGGUUUGACGCGGCCUUGGCACGAGCGGAGCUCGAACUCACGACCUCCCGGCUACAAUAGCAUUGAGCUGCCGCGACUGGUCCAGAGCAUAACAUGACUAGUGAACUUGAUAGACACAGCUCCCUGCACUGAAACAACAUGUGGGGAAUAUGAGCGCUGUGAAAUCCUUGCUAACAAAAAAGUGAUCUGCAGCAAACCAGAAUGCAAAUCACAUGUAAACCAGAAGAACAUUCAAAGUGUGAAUAUAUUUUCCAACACUACUCUGGCAGUCGGUGAACAUGUCCAUUAUUACUGUGAUGUGAUGUCCAACCUGCAGGUCACAUAUCGAUGUCAACAGGAUGGAACCUGGAAAAUUACAGACGACUCCGAUAAAAAAUGUGCUGGUCUUUACCGAUCUAGUAAUCUAUUUGUCUGGAUAGACGGGACUUUUAACAAGACUACUGGGAAAAUCAUCACUUCACUGGGUUCCCGUCCUGUUCAAGAAUUCCAAAAACUACCAGAAUACGCUAACGUUGGUUAUCAGUCGGAUGGAUGUUUCAUGAUGUUUAGUGUUGUUGGUUUGCCCGCUAUCAGGAUUAACAGAAUAUGUACCGCAAGAAAUUAUUUUAUUUGCGAAUUGAAUUAAAGGACAUAUUGCAAGUUACUAAACAUUUUAAUGUUUAAAGCAAAUCAUAAUUUGCCUAAUGCUUUUAUGUUUCAAGCAAACCUAUUCUUUUAUGCAAAAAUGAUUUUAUAUAUUUAAUCUAAACAAUAUAUCUUUGUAUGUAUAAUACAUAACAGGAUUGGACAGCAGGCGAUUGUAGAUGUGUUUUAAAUGAAAUAUAUUGCGUAGUUUUCGGGUUUCAAAUCUAGCAAUAUGCAUAUUCACUCUUAGAUUUUACGCGCCAUUAUGUAUGACGUCAUAUGAUACCUCGAGCGAGAACGUAUCACGCGAACCAAAAAUGACGUUUCUGGAAAAUUCGAUGCAUUUUAAAAGAAGAGUUCCGGGCAGGUUGAGAUGGUUGACAGAAAAAAAACCUGCCAAAAUUAAAUUUAAAGAUUAUAUUUGCAACAUGUAAGGAUAUAAGACUGUGAUUUAGCUAUAUUGGGAUGUGCACAUCACAAGAACAGAUACAGUAAGUUUUAUUUCUUGCAGAACUUCGGCCUGUAAAUAAUUAAGCGAGUUGAAUCGCCGCCAUUUUUAAGCUUCCGACCAUGUUGAUUAUUUGAUAUGUAUAAGGUUAGAUGUGUAUUCAUAUAUUAUGACCCAAGCAAAUGUGCUGUUAAUUCCCAAACGCCCGCGCUCGUAAAUUCUGAAAGUCACUAUGUAGUAGUUACCCCAUAUGAUAUUGAAAUUUAAAAAUUCGAAUAAAAUUCUUAGAACCCAUAUUCAUGAAUUUUUCUGUUUAAAAAUUUAGCAAUAUAUUCAACUGAUGAUGGUGGUUACUCUUUUGAAAAUCCUAUUUGAUAUCCUUCAUUCUAAUACAUAUUUUGACUAAAUUGGCUGAAAAAACAUGUACAUGUCUAUACAAUAUAUUAAAAACAAAAAUAAAUGGUGAAACAUAAGAGAGAAAAAAUUAAAAAUUGUAAGAUGCGAAACCAUAAAAGAAACACAAGUCUGAUUCACUCUGUCCGCUAAACAAGUUUAUCUCUCAAACGCAUUCUUAUCACGUGACUGGGUCUUUUAUAAAACUCUUUAUAAAUGCUACCCGUAUUUAUAUGUACACGUGUUUCUCGACUUAAGGAGAAUGUGGAAAUAGAAAGUCUUUGGGACGAGACCAUUGACGAUAUUAUCUUGUAUCAAGGUUUAAGUGAGAUUCAGUGAGAAUAUCUAUAAUGUAUUUGGAGAACUUAGUCCGACACAGUUAUCCGUGUUUGAUAUGUGCAAUUUUGAUCUGGAGGAACGUCAUACAAUGGACAGUGAUGGUGUUGUUUUUUUUCUUUCGAGAAUGUGGGAGGGGUUUGAAGAAAAGUGUGGGUUAUGUACAGAUAACCCACACUUUUAACAAAGGAAAGCACGCCAAGCUAUGGUACAGCGUGUUAAAAUACACUGUAUAUAAAAAUAUGCAUUGUGUAUGUACCAGUAUAUGUGCAUUAUAUUUCUGAAGUGUCUUUAUAUUUAUUUUAACCCCCCCCCCCCAAAUAAAUCCUUCAUUUUGCGUUCAAUGUGAGUUCACCGUUUACUUUGCGCUUGCGCUCCGUUUGCACAAUACGUUUGCUCACUGUACUACGUUCAGCGUUCACUCGCCGUUCUAGAGCUCUGCGUGCGUUCACCGUUUGCUCACCGUUCACACAAUGUUCAAGUUGGGAAGUAGAACGCUUCAGGGGCUGUACUCGGAUGAUCUAAAAUGAAGGGUCACUUUCAUAAAAAAAAGAUUUACGCAAAUCAUUUAUGCACUUAUCCAUGAAACACUGAGCGCAAACAAAUAAAUAUCCAUACAAAUGACAGUAAAUAAGCUAUUUUACGAGAAAAAAUCCCCAGAAAGAUGGUCUCGGAUUUCUUCAUUAUAAAUUGAUCGAAGAUUGAUUUGUCCGUAGGGGAUCAGAUAUAUCUCCCUAAACUUUGAUAACGUUCUUGGUGUAUUCAUCUGAAAGUUAAUAAUGAUAUAGUGUACUAGGACAACCUCUACGAUGCCCAAUAAAGGGUGUUAUUAUUCAUUCACUUUCGGAAUCCUUUUGUUUAGACUAAUCGCUUUUGACAUGUACAUGAUUAUGGGGCUAUACAAGGCCAUGCGACCCUGUCACCUUUGACACAAUGUUGAACACCCAAAGUCAAUAAAAGCGUGCAAUUGAGGGUUUCAAAAUCAUGGUUUAUCGACCAUUCAAAAUAUAUAUGGUAACAUGCGUUUAUUAAAGGUAAAUAUCUGUUGAACACUCACCUCAAAUUGUUUCAAGUUAAGUAUGACAGAUUUUUUUUUUUUUUUUUACAGUAGGUCAAAGUAUGGUAUAUUUUUCGAGAUUUUUCUCACAUGUAACCUUCGUUACUGAGUCCUUGACAUGAUAAUAUGUAAGAUAAACAUUAAUUUUCCAUGCAUUAUUCCAUAACUUGUAUUGGAAUUGACUGAGCAUAUAUUUUUGUAAUUUGCGAAAGACAAUAAAUACAGGUUUUCAAAGAAAAUAUUUAAUCAACACAACAAGAAAUUAUCUGCUGUAAAAGUCAGCAAUAAGAUUUUAAGAGCGCAAAAUAAACGACCAGAUAUCACUUUCAAUAUCUUUGAAAUGGCAGAAAAUAAAAUUGAUUAACAAAUAUUUUCGAACAGUUCAAUAUGUAUGAAACAUGAAAGCAAAAGACUAGCAAUAGAUAUAGAACGAUAGCUUUUUUGUAUGUAAAUCAAGUAGCGCUGUAAUUAUGUAACGUAUGUUUCAACACUUACACAACAGUACAUCCAUGAAAAUAUUAUGCCAAAACGAUGUCAUCAUCAGUUAUUCUUUACGAUUGAUGUUGCAAAAUCAUAACGACAUCACUUAAUUCAAUGGAAAUACCAAUUUUAAUAGAAAUAUAACGUAGACAAGCAAAAAAAAAAAAAACAAAAAAAAAAUAACCAAA